GCAGCAUUUGUACCUAAUAUAAGUUUCUGUGUAUUAUUUGGGGACCUAACUCAGCAGGCAGAACUCAGGUGGCUGGCGGAAAGCGCCCAUGUGGCGGUAGGACUCUGGUGGCUUUUGGCAGAAUGAUUUAUCCUAACAUCCAACAGUUAAUAUGUGUUACCUAUAAAUGCUGUAGUUCCUUAAAAACUACUAUUGCUGAUUCUGAUCUUCUUCCCACUUUAAGAAAAUUAGAUGUCUUCUCUUGAAGUUAAAAGUUAACAUCUGGAGGGCAGUCUCUUCAUGCUGUUGUUGUAUUUUAACUAUUCCCAUCAAUGAAAUCCAUAAGUCUGAGAACAAUACAUUCACUACAACUCUGUCACCCAAUGAAAAUAGUACAGUACAGCUAUGGUUUUCUGAAGUGUAUUAUGCUCCAUCUGUUAGAUUCAACUUCUUUGAUAAUCACAUACACAAUUUGUGGAUAUUGAGGCAUUUAACCUCAUCCCACCAUAGUUAUCCAAGUACUCAGCCUCUUCUUGGGCAUCACCUCUCACCAGCUGCACUUCGUUGAUGGCCUCUGCCAGUCAUGCUGAACCAAUUAACAGAUAGCAGUGAGACAAGAUCAUCCCGACUGCUGUCCUAAGGAUAUUUCAAAACCGCAGUCAGCUCAUCUCAAAUAGUGCCAACUCCAGCAUCGCCUCAGUCCUAUGGUGAGAAGUGGAAAUAGAGAAGAUGGAUAGUGGGAGAGACUCCACUCUGCUCUCCUCCUUCUCAAGGCCCUUUGCAAGUUAGUAACAGGAAGCAUAUGAUUUUCUAAUGGAGGAAAUGAAGCACUGAUUAUCAAGUGGCAGAACCUAUGGAAGAUUUCCAAGGUUUUGAAACACCUGUCUAGAGAGUGAAAAUGAAUGCAUCCAUCCAGGUGUUUGGCCUCCAUGUUGAGAGAUAUCAAACACUCUUGGAGCCAUCUGGGUCAUUGCACUAAGAUCUGGUGUCCUGUGAGCAGCUGAUGCAAUUUUCCUCAGUCACAGGGAUGAAUCUUGGAUAACGUUUCUGGCUCUGAGAAAUCCCCAAGUCACAGAGAGACAAUGUGGUUGACCCGAGGCUUGGCGCUCCUGUUACAGCAUGUUCCACAGCAGUGUCCCUGGGGAUAACGUGAGAGUUUUUAACAGUGCUGAAAGUCGCCCAGUAAUCACCCUGUGUGGAUUUCACUAGCAUUCCAAAGACAUCCCAAACAAUUCCAAGAAGACUUUGGGGACCCAGUAAGGUUUUCUAAACAUUUUCUUUCUGCCUGAAAACACUGAAGAUAAACAGCUUCCCCAAACUCCCAUAAUAACACAGAGUCAUUUGAUCAUGAACACAAGUCAUCAAUUGCCAUUCCGCCCCAAAACCACAACAGUCCAAAGAAGUCAUUCCUGACCAGCUAUCAAAAGGUCAGAGGAAGAAUCAUUCUUGAUGGGCUUCAGAGCAGUGUUCCUGGUUUCCCCUGCCCCACCAGCCUCACAGCUGGAACUAUGAAACAGCCAGACAGCCCACGGAUCAAGUUGCAGCAACACCACAUCAAGGCUUCAACUUAAAAAGUUUCUUUUCACUAGUAGUAUUGAAGGCACUGUAGAAAUGACUACAACAUGAAAGCUUCCUUUCAAAAGGGGAUUUGGAAACUCACUGGGUGAAUGUGACUGGUCUCUCUUCUUUGCUGAAGGAUUUAUGGCACAACCUUGUUCGUAUCCCUCAUGUUCCCAGUUUGAGUCUCAAUACCAGCCCCACCAUAGGACAGGAAAAAGGCUGUUUACCAUUCUACAGCUGAGAAGACUGAAGCCUGAGCAAGUACAUUGGCCCAGUGUCCUGAAAGGAAGAAGCUGUAGAGUUGGAAUGUAAAGUCAGGUGUUUGGACUCUCAGUCAAGAGCCAUUUUUUUUUUUUUGACAAUGGAAAUAUGAGACCUGCAGAUUAUCAUAGAUGGAGACCUAGAAAAGCCACGCCAUGUCCACGGGUGGCACGGAUAGGUGUUUUCUUUCAAUGGUACCCCAGAGGGAACUCAGGUUUGAGAAAACUAGGAGUGGAUAGUGUUUCCAGUACAAGAUACUGCAUCAGCUUUUGGAAAUCUCUGAGACCAGCAGAUAGAGCUUCUCAUGUUUACUUCCAAAGACACAGGUAAUUUCUUCCCUUGACCCCCACACACUUCACCCAAUAUCCCAGCAUGGAAACAAAUAGCAUACACAUCGUUAGCCAUCCAGGGCAGGUGCAAGGUCCUUAAGUUGUUGCAUUUGUUGAAACUUUCCCCAGGUGCUGAUCGGAAAGCUUAUGAUUGAGAGGUUCCUUGAGAGACACAAAUUUAGAACAUUCUCCAAGGAGCCUAUCUGCUUCCCAACAAUGGAAACAAGGACUGCUCCAGGAAGCUCUUCACUUCCAAAGGGUCCAGAAUCAGCUUGGGGGCUGCCUUUCUCUUUAAGAAGGGAACUUUUGGAGUCUCCCUGGCUAUUCCUCCAGUAAGCACCACUCCAGCCUGGCAAUAGAGCAAAGCCUGCUUCAUUCAGAUGCUGUCUGCCUACAACCUUUUCAGGGGGGAAGCCACAGAGGCAGCCUGGCUGUCUAGUUUCAGUACAAGCAUUUCUUUACCCAGUGUUCAUGUCGUAGCCCUCUUUUCCAUCCCUUCCAAAAUAUUUUGUUUUCCAACUCUUGUUUCUCCUCCAUGCUGUGUUGAGAAGGAUCUAAAACAUCCUCCCUGGUUUCCUAAACUGUUGUUUUUGUUUUUGUUUCAAACCACAGCCUAAAUUUAACUCUAAGCCCAGCUGACCCAGCUGGCCAGUGGUUGAGGGUGGGCCUUCGUUGUUGCCUUGAGGACAAUUACCUUAAGCCAAUCAAGUGCAGAUAAGCUUCGGAUAUGACUGAGUACAAGGGUGUUGUUGGGAGGCCUUUGGGAAGAGCCUUCAGACAUGUUUUCCUUUUUGCUUUUCUAAUCUAUUCAAAGAUAGCAAGAUUAAUCCUCCUAAAUAAUAUAUUUUGUGAACACUAUGAAAGGCACGAUCCUGAUGUAUGUUUGUAUUUCUCUACCCUUUACCCACAAAUGAAGAAUGAGUCUUUUAGCAUGGCCUAAAGAGUCUCUGAGGUCUGGCCUCAAUUUUCCUUUCCAAUUUUAUGGCUUAUUCAGUCGUAUUGCUUGUUUCAUUUCACACUUCCUUCCAUACCCUGACUCGGUCUUGUCCUUUACUGCUAGGUCUGCCCUUUAUGCCUGUCAAAUCACCUCCUGCUUUAUGGCCUUUAUUCAAAGCUUAGCUGAGUAUUUUCUUUUGAAUGAAGCCUUUAUGGAUGUAUCUGGACUACAUCACUACUCCUCUGCUUUGUAACUAUGAGAAUACCUGUUCUGCUGGAUGAUGCUUUAUAAUAUGCUCUAUGUUGUGACAGCCUUGUGCAAUUAUUUUGUUUUAUUUUUCUAAGCUGUGCUGUUUUUAUGCCAGUGGAUUAUAGUUUUAAAAUACAAUAAAAAAAAAUCUCUGUCA